UUACGGCUAUAUCACGCUGAAACAUCGGUUCCUGUACGAUCACCGCCGUUAAGCUAUGUCGAGCCUGGUCAGUGCCUAGAUGAGUGACCGCUUGGGAAUACCAAGUGCUGUAAA